GUAGGGAAUAUUGGGCAAUGGAUGCAAGUCUGACCCAGCCAUCCCGCGUGCCGGAAGAAGGCCCUCAGGGUUGUAAACGGCUUUUGACGGUGAAGAAUCGACAGGAUGCGUCCUGUUUUGACGGUAGCCGUUGAAUAAGCACCGGCUAACUCUGUGCCAGCAGCCGCGGUAAGACAGAGGGUGCAAGCGUUGUCCGGAUUGACUGGGUGUAAAGGGCGUGUAGGCGGCCGAGUAAGUCUGACGUGAAAACAUCACCGCUCAACGGGAUGUACGCGUUGGAAACUGUUCGGCUUGAGUACAGGAGAGGUUAACGGAAUUCCAGGUGUAGCGGUGGAAUGUGUAGAUAUCUGGAGGAACACCGGUGGCGAAAGCGGUUAACUGGCCUGUGACUGACGCUGAGGCGCGAAAGCCAGGGGAGCAAACGGGAUUAGAUACCCUAGUAGUCC
rnacentral:rRNA from 1 species